GAUGAACGCUGGCGGCGUGCCUAAUACAUGCAAGUCGAGCGAACAGACGAGGAGCUUGCUCCUCUGACGUUAGCGGCGGACGGGUGAGUAACACGUGGAUAACCUACCUAUAAGACUGGGAUAACUUCGGGAAACCGGAGCUAAUACCGGAUAAUAUAUUGAACCGCAUGGUUCAAUAGUGAAAGACGGUUUUGCUGUCACUUAUAGAUGGAUCCGCGCCGCAUUAGCUAGUUGGUAAGGUAACGGCUUACCAAGGCAACGAUGCGUAGCCGACCUGAGAGGGUGAUCGGCCACACUGGAACUGAGACACGGUCCAGACUCCUACGGGAGGCAGCAGUAGGGAAUCUUCCGCAAUGGGCGAAAGCCUGACGGAGCAGCGCCGCGCGAGUGAUGAAGGUCUUCGGAUCGUAAAACUCUGUUAUUAGGGAAGAACAAAUGUGUAAGUAACUAUGCACGUCUUGACGGUACCUAAUCAGAAAGCCACGGCUAACUACGUG
rnacentral:rRNA from 1 species